CAGCAGCCGCGGUAAUACGUAGGUGGCAAGCGUUAUCCGGAAUUAUUGGGCGUAAAGCGCGCGUAGGCGGUUUUUUAAGUCUGAUGUGAAAGCCCACGGCUCAACCGUGGAGGGUCAUUGGAAACUGGUAAACUUGAGUGCAGAAGAGGAAAGUGGAAUUCCAUGUGCAGCGGUGAAAUGCGCAGAGAUAUGGAGGAACACCAGUGGCGAAGGCGACUUUCUGGUCUGUAAUUGACGCUGAUGUGCGAAAGCGUGGGGAUCAAACAGGAUUAGAUACCCCGGUAGUCCCUGUCUCUUAUAC
rnacentral:rRNA from 1 species